CAUUUGUUUACAUAUGCCAGUUGUUUAAAACUACUGUCUAUGAUAUCUAUGUGUGAGUGUGUAAAAUCGUUUUUUAAAGUUGUUUUAAUAAUAUACGGUACUCUCUCAAAAUUAUAUAAGUGCAAGAACGUGGACUUCAAGUAUCAAAAUCGUUCAGUUUUACACGCAUCUGCUAAGCGUCGUUAAACGUCACGAAGUGGUGCAAGUGCGGGGAGGCAGAGACGGUGUUAUCGCCUGGUGACAAAUUGCGACGUCGGUUCGCGUGGGUCAAGCGGUCGGGGUCCGCCACAUUAAUCUUCAUGGCAGCUUCCGACUUCUCCUUCCGUCAGUGGUUUCGUGAAUCUGGCUCAACUAUAUUAGAACUGUUGGGUAUAUUACAAUUAUCAACACACCGUACUAAAAAUCAAACAAAACUUUGACAUAAACUGAUAAUUAAACUUAAUACACACU